rnacentral:tRNA from 1 species
ACCUAAAUAGCUUAUAAUUAGAGCUUGACCCUGAAGAUGUUAAGGAAGUAUUUUUUACUUUUAGGUA